rnacentral:rRNA from 1 species
CCCGGGGAACUGAAACAUCUAAGUACCCGGAGGAAAAGAAAUCAAACGAGAUGCCCACAGUAGCGGCGAGCGAAGAGGGCAGAGCCCAAACCUGUAAGCUACGGCUUAUGGGGGUUGAGGACUGACGUAAUUAAGGCCAGGCUUAGCUGAACUACCUGGGAAGGUAGGCUAUAUAAGGUAAGAGCCCUGUAAGCGAAAGGCAGAGCCUUAAGGUCAGUAUCCAGAGUACCACGGAGCACGAGGAAUUCUGUGGGAAGCAGGGGGGACCACCCUCCAAGGCUAAAGACUAACUGGCGACCGAUAGCGCAUAGUACCGUGAGGGAAAGGUGAAAAGAACCCCGGGAGGGGAGUGAAAUAGUACCUGAAACCGUAUGUCUACAAGCAGUCGGAGCGAAAGCGACGGCGUGCCUAUUGAAGAAUGAACCAACGAGUUAUCUGCACUAGCGAGGUUAAGUGGAAGACACGGAGCCGUAGCGAAAGCGAGUCUGAAAAGGGCGGCGAGUUAGUGUAGGUAGACCCGAAACCGCAGUGAUCUACCCAUGUCCAGGUUGAAGCGCAGGUAAAAAUGCGUGGAGGACCGAACCGGUGAGCGUUGAAAAGCUUUCGGAUGAGAUGUGGGUAGGGGUGAAAUUCCAAUCGAACGCGGAGAUAGCUGGUUCUCCCCGAAAUAGCUUUAGGGCUAGCCUCAGGUAGUAAGUAUAGGCGGUAGAGCACUGAUCGGGCUAGGGGCCAUAAAGGUUACCGAACCCUGUCAAACUCCGAAUGGAUAUACUGCAGAGCCUGGGAGUCAGACUACGAGUGAUAAGAUCCGUGGUCAAAAGGGAAACAGCCCAGACCACCGGCUAAGGUCCCAAAUGCCGUACUAAGUGGAAAAGGAUGUGGGGAUUCAUAAACAACCAGGAUGUUGGCUCAGAAGCAGCCACCAUUUAAAGAGUGCGUAAUAGCUCACUGGUCGAGAGUCCCUGCGCCGAAAAUUUCCGGGGCUAAAGUACGGAACCGAAGCCGUGGCUGUGUACGUAAGUGCACGGGGUAGGGGAGCGUUGCCACAGGGGUGAAGCUGGUCUGGAAGGACUGGUGGACUUGUGGGAAGUGAGAAUGUUGGUAUGAGUAGCGAAAAGAAAGGUGAGAAUCCUUUCCACCGAAAGCAUAAGGAUUCCUGAGCAACGAUCGUCGUCUCAGGGUAAGUCGGGACCUAAUCCGAGGCAAAGAGCGUAGGAGAUGGACAACAGGUUGAUAUUCCUGUACCGGCAGCAAUUGUUUGAGCGAAGGAGUGACACAGAAGGGCAGGCAGGCGCGAGACUGGAUUGUCGCGUGCAAGCGUGUAGGGUAGUGUACAGGCAAAUCCGUACACUGAAAGCCUGAGGCGUUACGCGGAGCGAGCAGAGAUGCGAGCGAAGCUGCUGAUCCCACACUGUCGAGAAAAGCUUCUAGUGAGAGAGCUGCCGCCCGUACCGUAAACCGACACAGGUAUGCGGGGAGAGAAUCCUAAGGUGCGCGGGAGAACCCUCGUUAAGGAACUCGGCAAAAUGUACCCGUAACUUCGGGAUAAGGGUAGCCGUUUUGGUGAAGGAACUUGCUUCUGGAGCUGAAGGCGGUCGCAGAGAAGAGGCCCAAGCGACUGUUUACCACAAACACAGGUGCCUGCUAAAGCGAAAGCUGACGUAUAGGUGCUGACACCUGCCCAGUGCUGGAAGGUUAAGGAAGGAUGUCCGGGCAACCAAAGCAUUCGACCGAAGCCCCAGUGAACGGCGGCCGUAACUAUAACGGUCCUAAGGUAGCGAAAUUCCUUGUCGGGUAAGUUCCGACCCGCACGAAAGGUGUAACGAUUUGGGCACUGUCUCAACGAGGGACCCGGUGAAAUUGAAAUACCUGUGAAGAUGCAGGUUACCCGCGACUGGACAGAAAGACCCCAUGGAGCUUUACUGUAACCUGACAUUGGGUUUUGUUGUAUUACGUACAGGAUAGGUGGGAGGCUUGGAAGGCUGGACGCUAGUCUGGCUGGAGCCGGCGUUGGGAUACCACCCUUGAUACAACGGAAUUCUAACCGAGAGAGUAACGAAAUCCGGGACAGUGUCAGGCGGGCAGUUUGACUGGGGCGGUCGCCUCCGAAAG